UUCAAAGCUUAUUCCCUUUAACAUUCAUUAGAUCUGUGUAUUCAAACCCACGAGGUACCUCUGGAAACACUGAGCUCGUGUUUAACCACAACUGUGAAUUUUCAGCUUUCUUUAAAGGUUUCUGUGCUGCAGCAGAGGCUGAGGAGGAGGAGGAGAGCUCUGGGGAAACCCCGCUGUGUCAAACGCACGGAAAAGAUGGGAACAGAGGGAAUUUCAAACAGGAUUUAUGUUAUAUUGCUGGGAAUUGCUACGCCCAGGACUCUCAAUGGAUCACUUCUCUGGGUUGUUAAAGGAAAUAUGUACAGAAACACUGAGCCCAG
rnacentral:lncRNA from 12 species